rnacentral:rRNA from 1 species
AGGGAAUCUUCCGCAAUGGACGAAAGUCUGACGGAGCAACGCCGCGUGAGUGAAGAAGGCCUUCGGGUCGUAAAACUCUGUUGCCGGGGAAGAACAAGUGCCGUUCGAACAGGGCGGCGCCUUGACGGUACCCGGCCAGAAAGCCACGGCUAACUACGUGCCAGCAGCCGCGGUAAUACGUAGGUGGCAAGCGUUGUCCGGAAUUAUUGGGCGUAAAGCGCGCGCAGGCGGUCUUUUAAGUCUUAUGUGAAAUCUUGGGGCUCAACCGCAAGCGGUCAUUGGAAACUGGGAGGCUUGAGUGCAGAAGAGGAGAGUGGAAUUCCACGUGUAGCGGUGAAAUGCGUAGAGAUGUGGAGGAACACCAGUGGCGAAGGCGGCUCUCUGGUCUGUAACUGACGCUGAGGCGCGAAAGCGUGGGGAGCAAAC